AACGUAGGAGACAAACGUUAUCCGGAGUUACUGGGCGUAAAGAGCGCGCAGGCGGUCGUUCAAGUCGCGUGUGAAAGCCCCCGGCUCAACUGGGGAGGGUCACGCGAUACUGAUCGACUCGAAGGCAGGAGAGGGAAGUGGAAUUCCCGGUGUAGUGGUGAAAUGCGUAGAUAUCGGGAGGAACACCAGUGGCGAAGGCGACUUCCUGGCCUGUUCUUGACGCUGAGGCGCGAAAGCUAGGGGAGCAAACGGG
rnacentral:rRNA from 1 species